CCUACGGGAGGCAGCAGUGAGGAAUAUUCCACAAUGGGGGAAACCCUGAUGGAGCGAUGCCGCGUGCAGGAAGACGCUUUUCGGAGUGUAAACUGCUUUUAACAAGGAAGAUUAUGACGGUACUUGUAGAAUAAGGACCGGCUAACUACGUGCCAGCAGCCGCGGUAAUACGUAGGGUCCAAGCGUUAUUCGGAAUUACUGGGCGUAAAGCGUUCGUAGGCGGUUUGAUAAGUUGGAUGUGAAAUCCUGUGGCUCAACCACAUGGACUGUGUCCAAAACUAUCUGACUAGAGCAUAGUAGAGGCAAGUGGAAUUUGCGGUGUAGGAGUGACAUCCGUAGAUAUCGCAAGGAACACCAAUGGCGAAGGCAGCUUGCUGGGCUAUUGCUGACGCUCAGGAACGAAAGCGUGGGGAGCGAACGGGAUUAGAUACCCCGGGUAGUCCACGCCGUAAACGAUGAUCACUAGCAGUAUGGAGAUUCGACCCUCUGUUGUUGCACAGCUAACGCGUUAAGUGAUCCGCGUGGGGAGUACGGGCGCAAGCUUAAACNCGAAAGGAUGACGGCGUGAGACGCGCGACGACGACGACGAGGGAGGAGG
rnacentral:rRNA from 1 species